UUUUUAGUGUAAGUAUGUUCCAUGCAGUAUUAGGGAUCUACUUAUACUAAAA
rnacentral:pre_miRNA from 1 species